rnacentral:rRNA from 1 species
GAUGAACGCUGGCGGCGUGCCUAAUACAUGCAAGUCGAGCGAACGGACGAGAAGCUUGCUUCUCUGAUGUUAGCGGCGGACGGGUAAGUAACACGUGGAUAACCUACCUAUAAGACUGGGAUAACUUCGGGAAACCGGAGCUAAUACCGGAUAAUAUUUUGAACCGCAUGGUUCAAAAGUGAAAGACGGUCUUGCUGUCACUUAUAGAUGGAUCCGCGCUGCAUUAGCUAGUUGGUAAGGUAACGGCUUACCAAGGCAACGAUGCAUAGCCGACCUGAGAGGGUGAUCGGCCACACUGGAACUGAGACACGGUCCAGACUCCUACGGGAGGCGGCAGUAGGGAAUCUUCCGCAAUGGGCGAAAGCCUGACGGAGCAACGCCGCGUGAGUGAUGAAGGUCUUCGGAUCGUAAAACUCUGUUAUUAGGGAAGAACAUAUGUGUAAGUAACUGUGCACAUCUUGACGGUACCUAAUCAGAAAGCCACGGCUAACUACGUG